rnacentral:rRNA from 1 species
GCCGGGUAGCGACGUCGGGAAAGGAUAACCGCUGAAAGCAUCUAAGUGGGAAGCCCCCUCCGAGAUGAGCACUCCCAGAACGUAAGUUCUCAGAAGGGCCGUGCGAGACUAGCACGUUGAUAGGCGGCAGGUGGAAGCGUGGUAACACGUGUAGCCGAGCCGUACUAAUCGCCCGAGAGGCUUGACCA